CCUCUCACCACACCUGAAAAUCCAGCUUUACACAGGGAAAAAUGGAAAUUGGAAGUGAUUUAUUUACCCAGCCCCAGAAACGAAAAGAGGUAAGAAUGACAACAUUGAGAAAGUGAAGAUCUGGAUUCAUGGGCAGGGCCCCUCCACAAAGCUAGAAGAAGCUUUAGAAGCGCAGCUCAAAGAUGAGUACUGAACAUGAGAAAUGACUGGCUCCCGGAUCCUUUCAACCUCUUCAUAAAAUACACCAAGGUCACUGAAACAAACUGGAAGUCAGAGUGUUCUAUACAACAGUUUUACAUUAAGUAUGGAGGAGAAGAAAAGGAGAAAAAAAAAAAAACUUGGCACACUCAUCUGGCAAACAAAGCUGGAGGUGAAACCAGUUGCGAAAUUUCACUCUACUGGAGUCCGGAGGAUCCAGGAAAACGGGG